rnacentral:rRNA from 1 species
GCGAACGCUGGCGGCAGGCCUAACACAUGCAAGUCGAACGAACUCUUCGGAGUUAGUGGCGGACGGGUGAGUAACACGUGGGAACGUGCCUUUAGGUUCGGAAUAACUCAGGGAAACUUGUGCUAAUACCGAAUGUGCCCUUCGGGGGAAAGAUUUAUCGCCUUUAGAGCGGCCCGCGUCUGAUUAGCUAGUUGGUGAGGUAAAGGCUCACCAAGGCGACGAUCAGUAGCUGGUCUGAGAGGAUGAUCAGCCACAUUGGGACUGAGACACGGCCCAAACUCCUACGGGAGGCAGAAGUGGGGAAUCUUGCGCAAUGGGCGAAAGCCUGACGCAGCCAUGCCGCGUGAAUGAUGAAGGUCUUAGGAUUGUAAAAUUCUUUCACCGGGGACGAUAAUGACGGUACCCGGAGAAGAAGCCCCGGCUAACUUCGUG